rnacentral:rRNA from 1 species
GAGUUUGAUCUUGGCUCAGAAUGAACGUUGGCGGCGUGGAUUAGGCAUGCAAGUCGUACGGGCCUGGCCUUCGGGCCGGGCCAGUGGCGCAAGGGUGAGUAAGGCGACGGUAACCAACCCCGGGGCUGGCCACGGCCGCGGGAAACUGCGGGUAAUUGCCAGCGACGUCGGGACCCGGCAUCGGGUGCCGACCAAAGGUGCGAAUCCGCCCCGGGACGGGCCGUCGUGGUAUUAGUUGGUUGGUGGGGUAACGGCCCACCAAGACUUUGAUGCCUACCGGGCGUGCGAGCGCGACCCGGCACACUGGGACUGAGACACUGCCCAGACUCCUACGGGAGGCUGCAGUCGAGAAUCUUCGGCAAUGGGCGCAAGCCUGACCGAGCGACGCCGCGUGGAGGACGAAGGCCUUCGGGUUGUAAACGU